CAGGAUGAAUGCUAGCUACAGGCUUAACACAUGCAAGUCGAGGGGCAGCAUGUGGUUGCUUGCAACCAAUGAUGGCGACCGGCGCACGGGUGAGUAACGCGUAUCCAACCUUCCCCUUAGUAGAGGAUAGCCCGGCGAAAGUCGGAUUAAUACUCUAUGUUCUUCAAUGCGGACAUCUAAGUUGAAGCAAAGAUUUAUCGCUAAGGGAUGGGGAUGCGUCUGAUUAGGUUGCAGGCGGGGUAACGGCCCACCUGGCCUACGAUCAGUAGGGGUUCUGAGAGGAAGGUCCCCCACACUGGUACUGAGACACGGACCAGACUCCUACGGGAGGCAGCAGUGAGGAAUAUUGGUCAAUGGGCGCGAGCCUGAACCAGCCAAGUAGCGUGCAGGAACCGACUGCCCUAUGGGUUGUAAACUGCUUUUAUCAGGGAAUAAAGUGAGGCACGCGUGCCUUUUUGUAUGUACCUGAUGAAUAAGGACCGGCUAACUCCGUGCCAGCAGCUGC
rnacentral:rRNA from 1 species